UUCAUACCUUUCUAUUUGGCAAGAGUAUCCCCAAAACAAAGAUUGAAAAUGAUGGUCUUGUUCUUAAAGGAGAGCUGACUGUGGCCAUGCUGAGCACUUCUCAGGAUGAGACCUGCACAGAUCACCUCACAUUAGAAUUCCAUGUCUGACAGCAGCUUCGGAAAGGCAAUGGCAAAUCAGUCUUUUCUGAGGAGGAUAAACAACUGGCAACAAAUGUAGGCAGGAAAGGGUAGCUGUUCAGAGCAUCCUGCAGCAGGCUUCACCCUUGGUUUCUGCUUGCUUUCUGCCUCUUGAAGAAUAAAUGAAAAUGUAUCUCGAGAAAUGAGGUUCCUAGAAAGAAGUUCAAAUUCCAGAUGGCUGAUACCACCCAGGCACCAGCUGUUGAGGAGGUAACAAAGUCUGCUUUAAAAAAAGAAAUCAUCAAUGCCAAGAUGCUAUUGCUGCACUUUGGGGUUUUGCUUCUGCUGCUUUCAUCUUGCUUUUAGGGCCACACAUGUCCAGGGUGUGUGUACAGUCCUUGGUAUGAGAAUCGCCCUCCUGAUUACCAUCGGAGAACGUAGCACGUACCAAUAUAAGUAUUGUUUUGUUAGAAGUGAAACCUUUACCAAGCAAUACCAAGGAGCAAUCAAAGGUCACCUGGGCACUGGAUACGUUUUCCGUGAAGGCUGAAGCUCAUAACUCAACAAGAGAAUCCACAGUGAUCUCUAAAAGGCUGAUCUCAAAAGAAGUUACACUUCUUGUGUUUUCUUC
rnacentral:lncRNA from 1 species